CAGAGAGUCAGAAUAUAUUAACAAUUCAAUUCUCAUACAAAAAUGAUCACAAUAAGAUUCUUGGGGGAAAAAGGGCAGACUCAGUUGAUAUGCUGUGAACAAAUGACAAGAUUUACUUCGUAAUGUUGGAGAUCCAAAGAAGUGAAAUCAUUCCAUUUCUCACUAGCAGCCCGAAAAUCUUGGCAUGCAAACUGCAAAGUGAUGUUACAAACACUGAAAGAUACUAAUAUUCAUAAUUUCUAAA
rnacentral:misc_RNA from 1 species